AACGAACGCUGGCGGCAUGCCUAACACAUGCAAGUCGAACGAGACCUUCGGGUCUAGUGGCGCACGGGUGCGUAACGCGUGGGAACCUGCCCUUAGGUUCGGAAUAACUCCCCGAAAGGGGUGCUAAUACCGGAUAAUGUCUUCGGACCAAAGAUUUAUCGCCUUUGGAUGGGCCCGCGUUGGAUUAGCUAGUUGGUAGGGUAAAAGCCUACCAAGGCGACGAUCCAUAGCUGGUCUGAGAGGAUGAUCAGCCACACUGGGACUGAGACACGGCCCAGACUCCUACGGGAGGCAGCAGUGGGGAAUAUUGGGCAAUGGGCGAAAGCCUGAUCCAGCAAUGCCGCGUGAGUGAUGAAGACCUUAGGGUUGUAAAGCUCUUUUACCCGGGAUGAUAAUGACAGUACCGGGAGAAUAAGCUCCGGCUAACUCCGUG
rnacentral:rRNA from 1 species